rnacentral:pre_miRNA from 1 species
AGGAGGAACAACCCCAGUGGCGGGGCCAGCUCUGGAGCCCUGGAGUCAGCUCCCGCAGUAACUCCGGAGCUGUCUGCAGGGCCUGGAGUCUCCAGGGCGGG